CCCAGUGUGCCGCGGUACUCUGACCGUGCAAGGUAGCAUAAUCAUUUGCCUUAUAAUUGAAGGCUGGAAUGAAUGGUUUGACAAGAAUACAUCUGUCUCUUCAUGGUUAUUUAGAAUUUUAUUUUUAGAUGAAAAAGUCUAGAUGUUAUUAAAAGACAAGAAGACCCUAUCGAGCUUCAGAAAAAUUAACAGGAAUAUUAGAACUCUAUAUCAGUAAAAGAAAGGCUGUUAAAUACUUUGGUUGGGGCAACCUAGGAGUAAGUAAAGCCUCCUAAUUAUAAUAAGUCGGACCUGUGUUGAUCCAAUAAUAAUGAUCAAAGGAAUUAGUUACCGUAGGGAUAACAGCAUUAUCUUUUUCAAGAGCCCAUAUCGAAAAAAAGGUUUGUACCUCGAUGUUGGACCAAAUAUCCUAAAAUGCAAAUUCUUUAA
rnacentral:rRNA from 1 species